rnacentral:misc_RNA from 1 species
GAAAGUAAAAGUCGUAACAAGGUUUCCGUAGGUGAACCUGCGGAAGGAUCAUUAAUGUGUUUGGGCCUCACGGCUCUUCAUUCCGACGCUGUGCGCCUUCGGGCUGCACGCUGAGGGAGCAUAUAUCCACCCCUGUGCACACACACGGUGGCGAGCUGGGUAACGGCUCGCCGCUGAUCUUUACACACGUCUAAAAGUCAUUGUAUGUUUAUUUGAGAUAAAAACACAACUUUCAGCAACGGAUCUCUUGGCUCUC